rnacentral:rRNA from 1 species
CCUACGGGUGGCAGCAGUGGGGAAUAUUGGACAAUGGGGGGAACCCUGAUCCAGCCAUACCGCGUGUGUGAAGAAGGCCCUCGGGUUGUAAAGCACUUUCAGUGAGGAAGAACGCCUGGUGGUUAAUACCCAUCAGGAAAGACAUCACUCACAGAAGAAGCACCGGCUAACUCCGUGCCAGCAGCCGCGGUAAUACGGAGGGUGCGAGCGUUAAUCGGAAUUACUGGGCGUAAAGCGCGCGUAGGUGGCUUGAUAAGCCGGUUGUGAAAGCCCCGGGCUCAACCUGGGAACGGCAUCCGGAACUGUCAAGCUAGAGUGCAGGAGAGGAAGGUAGAAUUCCCGGUGUAGCGGUGAAAUGCGUAGAGAUCGGGAGGAAUACCAGUGGCGAAGGCGGCCUUCUGGACUGACACUGACACUGAGGUGCGAAAGCGUGGGUAGCAAACAGGAUUAGAUACCCUUGUAGUC